rnacentral:rRNA from 1 species
AUUGAACGCUGGCGGCAGGCCUAACACAUGCAAGUCGAGCGAGCGGCGGACGGGGGAGGAAUGUACGGGGAAUGCCCGAUAUAGGGGGAUAACUACUGGAAACGGUGGCUAAUACCGCAUACCGUCGGAUGACCGCUAUGGGAUUAGGUAGUAGGUAAGGUAAUGGCUUCCCUAGGCGACGAUCCCUCGCUGGUCUGAGAGGAUGAUCAGCCCCACUGGGACUGAGACACGGCCCAGACUCCUACGGAGGCAGCAGUGGGGAAUAUUGCACAAUGGGCGCAAGCCUGAUGCAGCCAUGCCGCGUGUAUGAAGAAGGCCCUAGGGUUGUAAAGUACUUUCAGUCGGGAGGCGUUACCGACAGAAGAAGCACCGGCUAACUCCGUGCCAGCAGCCGCGGUAAUAC